CGGACGGGUGAGUAAUGUCUGGGAAACUGCCCGAUGGAGGGGGAUAACUACUGGAAACGGUAGCUAAUACCGCAUAACGUCGCAAGAUCAAAGAGGGGGACCUUAGGGCCUCUUGCCAUCGGAUGUGCCCAGAUGGGAUUAGCUAGUAGGUGGGGUAACGGCUCACCUAGGCGACGAUCCCUAGCUGGUCUGAGAGGAUGACCAGCCACACUGGAACUGAGACACGGUCCAG
rnacentral:rRNA from 1 species